CCAACAGGGAUUGCCUCAGUAACGGCGAGUGAAGCGGCAAAAGCUCAAAUUUGAAAUCUAGCACUUUCAGUGUUCGAGUUGUAAUUUGAAGAAGGUAACUUUGGUUUUGGCUCUUGUCUAUGUUCCUUGGAACAGGACGUCACAGAGGGUGAGAAUCCCGUGCGAUGAGAUGCCCAAUUCCAUGUAAAGUGCUUUCGAAGAGUCGAGUUGUUUGGGAAUGCAGCUCUAAGUGGGUGGUAAAUUCCAUCUAAAGCUAAAUAUUGGCGAGAGACCGAUAGCGAACAAGUACAGUGAUGGAAAGAUGAAAAGAACUUUGAAAAGAGAGUGAAAAAGUACGUGAAAUUGUUGAAAGGGAAGGGCUUGAGAUCAGACUUGGUAUUUUGCGUUCCCUUCCUUUUUGGUUGGGUUCCUCGCAGUUUACUGGGCCAGCAUCGGUUUGGAUGGUAGGAUAAUGACAUUGGAAUGUAGCUUUACUUCGGUGAAGUGUUAUAGACUUUGUUGAUACUGCCUAUCUAGACCGAGGA
rnacentral:rRNA from 1 species